CUUACUCUGCUCAAACCUGGUGAGUGCUUAACUGGUUUGAAGACUCAUAGCUGCAUGGAAUCUCCUGGAUGUUAGCAUUCUGCCAUGCUUAAUGACCAAAGGUUCUGCUUACUUUCGAAAAGGCAUAGUAGAAGCCUAGCAGUCUGAAGCAGAUAAAAAAAUAAGAAUGAGCAAUAUGUUGAAAAGACAAUUAUAUAAACAAUGAACACUAGUGCACAACAACA
rnacentral:lncRNA from 1 species